UACGUAGGGGGCGAGCGUUGUCCGGAAUCAUUGGGCGUAAAGCGCACGUAGGCGGCCAUGUAAGUGGGUUGUGAAAUCCCGGGGCUCAACUCCGGAACUGCAUCCGAUACUGCAUGGCUUGAGGAAGGUAGAGGAGAGGGGAAUUCCCGGUGUAGCGGUGGAAUGCGCAGAUAUCGGGAGGAACACCAGCGGCGAAGGCGGCUCUCUGGGACUUUCCUGACGCUGAGGUGCGAAAGCGUUGGUAGCGAACAGG
rnacentral:misc_RNA from 1 species